AUUGAACGCUAGCGGGAUGCCUUACACAUGCAAGUCGAACGGCAGCACGGACUUCGGUCUGGUGGCGAGUGGCGAACGGGUGAGUAAUGUAUCGGAACGUGCCCAGUAGUGGGGGAUAACUACGCGAAAGCGUGGCUAAUACCGCAUACGCCCUAAGGGGGAAAGCAGGGGAUCGAAAGACCUUGCACUAUUGGAGCGGCCGAUAUCGGAUUAGCUAGUUGGUGGGGAAUGGCUCACCAAGGCGACGAUCCGUAGCUGGUUUGAGAGGACGACCAGCCACACUGGGACUGAGACACGGCCCAGACUCCUACGGGAGGCAGCAGUGGGGAAUCUUGCGCAAUGGGCGAAAGCCUGACGCAGCGACGCCGCGUGAGGGAUGACGGCCUGG
rnacentral:rRNA from 1 species